rnacentral:lncRNA from 1 species
GUAUGAGAUGAUGUUGCAAAUGAAGAAGACCAUAGUAAUAAUAGAACUUAACCUCAGGACUGCUAACAUUUGUUGAUACAUAUCAAAAAAAGUAUAAUUGCUAUAUAUUUGAUGUAUAUUAUGUAACAUAUUUGACAUCCUUUUCACAUAUUUCUCUUAAAAUCUCUAUAAAAUAGGUGGCAUUAUCACCAGCAUCUCUUCUUUGCAGGUGAAACAACCAACCAAGAAGUUGCCAUGUGCCGUUCAUACAGCUCGUCGGGGGUAGAAUUUGGAUACAAACUCAGGCAGUCUGGCUCUAGAUCCCAUGUCCAAGGAGUAGUUCUUGAGGAUCGCAUUCAUUUUGGAGGCAAUAAUAAGAAAAAUGUCGCUGUUGGUGAAGACAAAUUUGGUAAGGCUCCGUGGCCGCCUUCCCGUGCGCCUGUCUUCGCUCGCUGCUGCCAGCCCUUCUCCCCAUGGCAGCCCUGUUGGUUCUCUCGCCGCCGAGCUCUCUCACACACUGCUGGGCCCGGCCAGCUAAUGCUCUGAGAGAUCCUUUGAACAGGGUGCGUUUUCUUAAAGAAUUCUGCGUGUGUGAGCAUGGAGUGUACACAACCAAACACCUUUCACACCAUCAGUAAGUUCGGUACAAUAAUUUUGCCCAUAUAAUUUGGGCCCAGAAUUAAUUGCCCCACAGAGCUGAUACCCCAGAACUGAAGAUGCCUCGUUUUUAUCUUUAAAAUUUAGGAAGCUGCCCUCAUUGCUGUUGGUUUAUCAAAGUCUGUUUCUUUCUGUUGUUUGGAAGUCGUUUGCUAGCCCAUUAAAGUGGGAACUUCAUUUGAAACUUGCCAUAACGGAACAUGUAACUGUUCUUUUAUUCAAAGGAAUUAGAAUUUUAAUAUAUUUUAUGAAUUAUAGUUUAUGCCUCUCUGGGAGAGUUUCUUUUUGUUAGGAACAGAGCCAAUUUUUUCCUACUUCAAAAUUAGUGGUAUUAAAUCUAUUUUUAAAAAAUUAAAUAUUAAUCUUAGAGGAUUAUAAAUGAGGAGAAAAUGCAGACAUCAAACUAUCCAUAUACAAUUUUAAAAAGUCAUAGAAACAAUAAGUAGAGUGACUUGUUUUAUAAUUUAUCUUCCAUGUCCAGUUUGCUUAGCUUGUUAUGCAAUGUAAGUGAAAUAUCAGGUUACUAUUCCUGUGCCCUUUUUAUUAUUAAAAUCAACACAAAAUGCAUUCUCUCAUUUCAUACAUACUGGGAUAUUAAGUUUUUGAAAUUACUGUUGAUUUAUUAAGUUAAUUUAUUUUUCCAUUCCUUAAAUUCACUACACCUUGAUACAGUCUGUGGUCACUAUGAUUUAACAGUCUGCAUAAAUUGUACAAAUAAAUUGUGGCGAGGCUCUAUUAUUCUAUUAACUAGAUUUUUCAGGGUACAAGGGUGUUAUAUUAAGUUGCUAUUGUCAGAUUCAUUUAGGUGAUGAAUUAGCUGACUGUGGAACUCUCAGCCACAUUUCAUGUAUUAAUGUAGACAACAUUUAUUGGGAGCAUAUUCUAUAUUGGAGAAGAUUGAGGGACUUCAUAUUUUCAGCUUUCUUUAAAUAAAAAUCAAGUAUAUUUUCCUAUUUUAUAUCAGGUGACUAAAUGAUGCUAGUUGUGCGCCAAAAAUUGUGAAGAUACUUUGACAGAUGAUGCUUUUGGUGCUCCAUCUGAUCAAAGCUGAAAAAAAUGAAAAAUUAAAAAAACCCAUAUACAGUUCCUCAGGAAUACACAUCUUAUUUAUUUCUUAAUAAAACUUCAGUGGAGUUUUAGGAGUGAACAUUACUUUUCGCACGAGACGCUACAGCGCCGGGCACCUAGCACAGACAUGGGUCCUCUGACCUCACAGCCCUUGCUGUGUGCAUGUCUGCCCCUGUGGAGCUGCCACUGCUCAGGUAAGGAUGAGCGGCAGGUUUCCCACAGCCAGUGUGUGUGGAAGGGUCUGCCUAAUGCACUGAAGCAUGUUAAAGACAUAUACACCUAGACAGCGAAAUAAGAUACCUUGUUCUAACUGUAAGUGAUUCUGAUGGUAAUUGCAGUUUUUAGCAAUGAGAAUCAACAGUAUUGUAAGCAUUUUAGGUGAUAUUUCACUUAUGCACAUUUUUAUCAUUCACAAAUUCGUAUCAUUUGCAUAAUGCUAAAUGUAAUGAUGCUGCUGCGUUUCUAACCGAAACCUUCCUACUUUCUGAAGUUUAUUUCUUAGAUAUUUUCAUAUAUACUUGUGAAACCUUUCAGUCUUUGUUCUUUUACAUUUAUUCUACCAUAAUCAGAGAAAUUAUUAUUUCUGAUUCAGGAAGAUGUGGUUUUAUUGUUCAACACAUGACAGAAUAUGGCUUCACGAAUGAUGAAUCUUAAAUAUUCUAAGGAGCUAUGUCUUACCCACCUGCUUUUCCUUUCCUUGCAUCUUCUUUUCCUCAUCAUUAUCUUCUAGACAAAUGAAGCCGUAUUUUUUAGAACAAGAAACAUGGUUACCUUUGCAAAACGCCAUGGGUUACAUAAACUUGCUGUCCUCUUUAGUGCCCGUGGGGUCUGCAUAGCUUAUGAAAAUCUAACUUCUUCUAAUCACAACCAGAGAUUAAAGCAGCUAAGCUUUCAAAUAUAUUUCUUUUGUUUUGCACUUAGUUUUGAGAAUCUGCUUUGAAUUAAUGGUAUAUGACUUAAUUUUAAAGUUCAUUUAAAUGAACUGUUGCCAGUUCACUUUAAGAGAAUGUAAACACAUCAUUUCCAUUUCUCAUUGUUGUGAUAGCUUGGAUUAUCCCGAGGAUAAAUAGUUUGCUAAAUGAAGUUUCCUCAGUAUGCUGAAUAUAAUAUAUUUCUAUUUAAAAUAGGACAAUUUAACUUCAAAACCAUCGUGACACCUGUCUUUCAGGCUGCUAAUUCCAUUAGAAAGCUUACACAUUAGUAACUGUUUACCUUCUGUCGAGGUGGGUAAUUUUAUUUACUUCAUUUCUAUAUUCUACUUUUAUCCUGUUCCUAUGCACCCAGUUAUGAUACCUGUUUCAGCAUUGUAGUAACUGCUGCGCAUUUGCCAGCAGUUUCACCGUAGCCCAGUGAGUACUGACUCCCAGUCUCAAGAUGCAGGGCAGGCUGCAGAGUGGCUUAUUGACCAUGGGCUCGGUUUAUUCAUCGUGUCUGGCACUGCCGUAGGUCACCCUAGUUGAGAGUGGUUCAGGAAAGCCUAUGUGUGCUCCCAAAAUGAUUCAACAGAGGAUACCAGUAUGAGGCUCUGAACUGUUCCACCCAAGAAGAAAAGAGCAAAGUAAGAGACUUAGAAGAAAAUCUCUCUUGUUGGCUCCUCCUUUUGUUUUUUUGGCAUUUCACUUGAAUAGCUAAACAAUGGUCAUCAAAAGUUUAAAUGUUUGAAAAAUAUUUUCAAAAUUCAGAAGGCAUGAAUGUGAUAAACCCCUUACCUUCCUUUUAUGACUGUAAUAAUUUUUAGCUGUGCUUAUUGGGAGGAGUGUCCUGUAUAAAUAAAGGCUGCAGUCCCACUGUAAUUAUUUCUUAAAGUUCUGCAUAUUUGUUCGUGUGUGUGUGUGUGUGUGUGUGUGUGUGUGUGUGUGUUUGCUUUAAUAACCCAGCCCUACAUUUGAACUUUCUGUGGCAAGUCUUAAGAAAUGAAACACUUUAAUAAAUCUGAAAAGUGAAUUUUGAAAAUAUUUUUAUAAACUUUGUGUUGAAAUAAUAAA